GCUUGCAGGAAUUGUUUCGAAGCACAUACGAAAUAUAGGUGAUACAGGAAAAAAUGGAGGAGUUUUUAUGGUGGAUUUGGAAGGGAAACUGAUUUCUUAUUACUAUGAUCCUGAGUUAAAAUUGAUUUCUACUGGUGUAAAAAUUGGAAAUCAUCUAUACUGUGGUUCUAUCAUCUAUCCCUAUAUUAUUCGUCUAAAUUUGGCCAAGUAUCCUGCACUUGCCAAUACCUAAGUUGUGUAGAUUAAUGCUAUAUUAAUGUCUCUCAUCUGUGCUCGGAGGGUUGGUGUGCCCUAUGAGAGUAUCCUCAAUCGGGCCAUCAACACCUGACUAGUGAACCGAGCUGAUAGAGGUAAUGACUAAAACAUCUAGUAGUUCUCUUUUUCUUUUUCGAAUGUGUUUACGCUAUGCAAAUGUUAUAGAAAUUUUCAGAGUUGUCUAGCAAACAUUUCUCAUUGAAUAUGGUAAUGGUAUGAUGUUUUUGCCUCGUUUAAUUUAAUUUCACCUAAAUAUAAUAAUUGAAAUAAUUUAGUGAAAAAAAUAUUACGAAGCACAUUUCAUAUAUAUUUGCCACCAUUUCACUCACCUUAUAAUCAAAUACAAAAAUUUUUUUAACCUAAUAAUAAAAAAAAUAUUGUCGUAAAUGAACAUAGAAAAUAUUACAAUUAAUUUAAUUAAUUACAAAAGUUUUGUGUUUGUGGAAGAGUUCAGUAAAUUAACAAAUGAAAUUAACUUACCUGGGCUGUUAAGAGGUUGGAUUGUUUCCACAAGCAUGGGCAUCAUGUGAAGUGCAACCUGAUCUUUUUUUUUUUUUUUUAAAAUUCAUUAGAGGCAUUUAUAGGCGGAAAUAAUAGUCCGGGCUACACAACAGGAAUAGCUCUCUCUUGGCUCACCAAAUUGAUAAAAAUAACUGUGAUCAAGAAAACUCGAAUUUGAAAGCUUUCACUCCUCGCACGGUUGAAUAGACCAAUAUGAUCAUAUUUGCAUGCAUCCAAAUCAUCUUAAGCCAAAUACCGAACUUCCGGAAGCUCUAAUGGCUUUCAACUGUUGAGCAGUAACAUCAAAUAGGAAAGGACAAACUGGAGAUUAUCAAAUUUUUAGGAAAUGCACUUCCUUAGAUCGAGGGAAGGAAAUAAUUUCGUCAUAAGAAUUUCUUUAUUUGUGGAAAUAAAACAUGAUCAAAUUCAUUACCUUUACAAAAGUUUAAGUUUCCGAGUUCACUCGUCACUUACAAAGAAGGCCUAAAACUCUUCCAUUUGACACGUCUCCAACCUAUUGCUACUACAAAAAAUAUGAAUUCAACAAAAUCAUAUCAUAACAUAUGAAGAAAGAGUUCACCAUGCCUUUCUUUCACUAUUGCCUUUUCAUUACUAUCUCCUGUUAUAGCUGCUAUACUUAUUUACCAACUCGACUCGUUCGACCCAGCUCCUAUUCCCAUCCACGAGUUGACUCAGCCCCCUAAUGCGUUGAUGCAAAAUAGUCAUGUCCUUGAAAGAUCAGAACUUUUGGAUGAAGGGACCCGAAGAUAUAGCAUAUGACAGCAAGUCGGGGCUGAUUUACACGAGCUGUCAAGAUGGGUGGAUCAAGCGAGUCACGGUGACUGACUCGGUGUCUGACUCGAUUGUUUAAAACUGGGUUAAUAUUGGUGGGACCCCCUGGAAUCGCUGAUGCUUUCAAGAUUUGUACAUAUCUCUUUGACUUUUACAUUGAAAUCAAAACGUCAUUGAAUUUCAUGGGAGUAAAAUAUCUAUUUGGAACUUAGGAUUUGUUUGGUUAAAAUUGAUCUAUUUUCUGGAAAGUUGAUUUCCGCGAAACUAGAGUUUCUAAGGAAGUUACUUUCCGAAAAGUAGAGUGCGAUUGUGUUUGAUUGAUACAUUGAAUUCCCAGAAAGUAAACUGGAUUAAUGAAAUGUGAGAUUGUAAAUGACAAAAAUACCCUGUUAUAUAUAAUAAUUGAAAUAUUUCAUUAAAAAAAUUUUAAUUGAAAUAUUUCAUUGAAAAAAAUUUAAUAACCUAGAAUAUUUCAUUGAAGAAAAAUUUAAUAAAACACGUUUUAUAUGAUCCACUAGCUUGUAAUCAAUAUAACUUUUUAAUUACAUAUUAUACAAAAUAUUAUUAUAAAUUUCUUUAUUUGGUUAAUGUUAUAAUUACACACAAAAUAAGAAUAAUAAUUCUCUAAAAAAGCUUAAUAAGGAAAGAGCAUGUGUUCAAUUAGAAGUACAGUGGACUAAAGUAAAAAUAAGCAGUGUAAGCUAAAAGAGUAAAAUUGAGAAUGAGAAGUAAACGGCUAGGGAGUUUUAUUUUUCAGUUCCUAGAUUAUACAAUUUGUGCCAACUAAACAUGCUCAAAAUCUAUAUUUCUUGGAAACUUCAACUUUCUCCCUUUACUUACCCCCAACCAAACGAGGCCUUAAUAUUUUGGCUAUUUAAGCUUUUGAAUUUUUACAUUGAACUUCUUUAUAAUAGAAGUAAAAUUCAAAAAAAUUUAUUAAUAGUUGUUUAUGUGGCUUAAAAGAUAAAAUUUCAAAAAUUUCUCCACUUAAAAUUUAAAAUAACUUUUUUAAUACAGAUAUAAAUCAAUCGUCUAAAGUUGAAUCGAGCUUCGUUUAUUUUAAACUCAACAUGUUAAAAUUACACUUAAUUUGAUAUAUUUUACACAAGUUGAUACAUUUUCUCAAGAAAGGCUGCCCAUAGCCUUCGCUUUCUCCCUCAGAAUAAAUUUUUGAACCUUCCCAGUUGAGGUUCUUGGCAAAUCCUCAAAAAUUACAGUUCGAGGAGCCAUAUAAUGAGGCAAUUUAUCUCGGCAAAACUUAAUUAUAUCUUGCUCGGUUGCAUCAAAUCCCUCUUUUAGCUUCACAAAUGCACAAGGUGUUUGUCCCCAAUGAUCAUCUGGUCUUGCAACUACUGCGGCUUCAAGAAUUGCAGGAUGGCCAUAUAAAACUGUUUCUACUUCAACUGUGCUUAUAUUUUCUCCGCCAGAAAUUAUAAUAUCCUUCAACCGGUCCUUUACUUCUAUAUAACCAUCAGAAUGUUUCACAGCUAGAUCCCCACUUCGAAACCAUCCACCUUUGAAAGCUUCCUUUGUUCCUUCCAAGUCUUUGAAGUACCCACUCAUUACAGUGUUUCCUCUGAACAUAAUCUCUCCAAAUGUUUUACCAUCGGCCGGUACACUUUCUUCAGUGAUAGGAUCUUUUACGUCAACGUCCUCUAAACCAAGAUGGUGAAUUCCUUGUCGAGCUUUCAACUUUACUCUCUCAUUAUGAGACAGAGAAUCCCAUUCAGGUUUCCAUGCACAAUAAGUUCCUGGACCAUAAGUUUCUGUAAGGCCAUACACGUGAGAUACACCAAAACCCAACUCUUCCAUCUUGAAAAUGAUUUGAGGGGGAGGUGGCGCACCCCCAGUCAUUACUUCCACUUUGUGAGGAAGUGGUUUUCGAUCACAAACCGGAGAAUUCACAAUCAUGUUCAAUACAGUCGGUGCUCCUCCCAUGUGUGUCACUUUGUGCUCUGCUAUACAGUCAAAAAUGCGUUUUGGAGAGACUUUUCUGAGGCAUAUGUUAGUGCCACCUUGAGCUGCAACUCCCCAAGUAAGGCACCAUCCGUUGCAGUGAAACAUAGGCACAGUCCAAAGGUAAACGGGCAUUGCUCCCAUCCCAUGAAGGAAAACUGUAGCAAGAGAAUUGAGAUAUCCACCCCUGUGAUUAUAAACAACUCCUUUGGGUCGUGAAGUUGUGCCGGAAGUAUAAUUUAUGCUGAUUGGAUCCCACUCAGUUCUCGGUCGUCUAAUCUCAAAUGCAUUAUCUCCAUUUUCCAAGAGACUUUCAUACUCAUAAGUGUUUGAAGUAGAGCCAGAGAGCAUCGGGCCAUCAGAUUCAGAAAUUAAGACCAGUAUAGGUGGUUUUGUUUCUGUAUUUGCCAGAAGAUCAAGUGCUUUACUAGCAACAUCAAAUAAUUGAUAGUCUACAAAAAUGAUCUUGGCUUCUGAAUGUUUCAACAAAACAGAAACCAUAUUUGCAUCAUGGCGUGUAUUAAGCGUGCAAAGAACAGCUCCUGCCAUUGGGACUGCAAAAUGCAGCUCAUACAUUGCUGGAACAUUAGGGGCCAAAGUAGCAACCUGCGUUAAUGUUUCUUUCUAAUAUUAAAUGCUGAUAUAUUUAAGUAUAGACUCAGUAAAACAGCAUUUUCAAUAUUUGAACACGCACAAACAGACAAGAUAAACAAAUACUAGCAAUUACUACAGGAAGACAGUUAGAAAACAACACAGUCGCCUCCCUUUUCUUUUUUUUUUUUUUUUUUUUUUUUCUGUACACCAAUAGAUAAUAUAAACAACUCUAUCUUAAAAGGCUUGACAUUUUCAAUGUUUUUGUCGUAUCCCAUUAUGUAGGGUUUCUACAGCAUAAAUGGUUUCUACAGCAUUUUCAAUGUUUUUGUCGUAUCGCAUUAUUUCACGAGCUAGUGUUUUUUCCCCCCCCUAAAGCAAAUUGAUAAACUCAUAAAUGCAGAAAUUAUAAAUAUAAUUCAAAUUCAACAAAACAAUAAACUAAAAAUGCAUUAUUUUAUAUAGCACAUCUCUUUCAUUAUAGUUUACUUAACAUCCAAUGGAUUGACCCAACUGACCCAAGCUUCAUCGACCAAAUCCUACUCAAUCUUAUCAAUGAAUUAAAUAAUAAAAGAAAGAUGAUCAAUGGUUGUUUUGAAUUUUGACGUAGAGAUUUAAAAAAAAGUACAAAAAGGGUGAAAAGAUGUGCAAAGAAUGAUUUAAAAUAUUAAUGGAAAAGAAGAAUGAAGGCUGCUGAUCCACCAGUAAAUGAAGGGGAUUUAUCCGCUCCAGUGGAUAGAAUAUCCACCAGAUUGGGUCAUUUGAGAAGAAACAAAAAGCUCAAGUAAUCUAAAAACAAUCAAAAUCAAAAUAUAAUGAUCAAAUGUCAAUGGCAGUAAUCUAAAAACUAGAAUAAAAAUCAAAACCUUUUUAUUAAUUAAAGCCAACCCAGAAGAGCAAAUUUCUCCUAAAACAGUACAAAAAAGCAGCUCAAUCAAAAUCAACUCACCACAUCACCUCUGGAAAUUCCCAAUCGGGUCAAAGUAGAAGCAAGGCUAAGACAACGCUUAUAAGUCUCAUUCCAUGUAUACACAACAGAACCAUAAACAACAGAUUUCCUGUCCCUAUACACCUUAGCUGCUCGCUCCAAGAAACUUAUAGGAGACAAAGGAACGAAAUUUGCAGAGCAACGAACAAGGCCCUCCAUAGGUUUCCAUGAUUCAGGCUCAAAAUCCCCAGGAAAAUAAGAGAAAAUGCGGGAAUUUUGUGGGAAAUUGAAAAGAAACCGGUUGAAACUAGAGGAAAUGAAACGAGUACAGUAAAAAUAAUAGGAUUUGUUCUUGAAAAGGUGGUUCAUGUUUGUGGGUAACAGAGAAACUUAAACAAACAGGUAGCAGACUCCAGUGGCAAAUACGAGAAAAUGAAACACAAAGCAAAGCUUUCCUCUGGGAUUGGAGACGUAACACUGUCAACAGAGUCUUUGAACUGCCGAAGCAUGCAAGAUAAGAGAUAAAAUAAUGGAUGAUGUAAUACGAAGUUCAAGUCCUUUGGCUGACAUGGAAAAAUCUAUUACUGUUCUUAUGUGCUGAAAAUUAUAUUUGCUGUGAUGAAUAUUAUAUUAAUUUUUUUAUUUCAAGUUUAUAAAGAAAAAUAUUUACAAUAAAACGUCUGAGCUAAUCAUUUUUAUAUAGUUAAAUGUAUUUCGCUGUAAUUUCCCUCCAAAAAAUUAAAAAUUAAUUAUUUUAUUUCAGUAAUAUCUUUAUAUAUUUACAGUAACUAUUAAAUUAACUUGAGCAGAUUAGUAAUUUUGAUCAAUUUGACAGGAAAUCACAACAUUUUGGAAGGCAGUAUUCAAAUAUCCUUUUGUCCGAAAGCUUGCAGGAAUUGUUUCGAAGCACAUACGAAAUAUAGGUGAUACAGGAAAAGAUGGAGGAGUUUUUGUGGUGGAUUUGGAAGGGAAACUGAUUUCCCAUUACUAUGAUCCUGAGUUAAAAUUGAUUUCCAGUGGUGUAAAAAUUGGAAAUCAUCUAUACUGUGGUUCUAUCAUCGAUCCCUAUAUUCUUCGUCUAAAUUUGGCUAAGUAUCCUGCACUUGCCAAUACCUAAGUUGUGUAGAUUAAUGCUAUACUAAUGUCUCUCAUCGGUGCUCGGAGGGUUGGU
rnacentral:lncRNA from 1 species